rnacentral:rRNA from 1 species
UACGAAGGGGGCUAGCGUUGUUCGGAUUUACUUGGCGUAAAGCGCACGUAGGCGGAUCGUUAAGUCGGGGGUGAAAUCCUGGAGCUCAACUCCAGAACUGCCUUCGAUACUGGCGAUCUUGAGUCCGGAAGAGGUGAGUGGAACUCCUAGUGUAGAGGUGGAAUUCGUAGAUAUUAGGAAGAACACCAGUGGCGAAGGCGGCUCACUGGUCCGGUACUGACGCUGAGGUGCGAAAGCGUGGGGAGCAAACAGG